rnacentral:rRNA from 1 species
CCGGCGACCGGCGCACGGGUGAGUAACACGUAUGCAACCUGCCCGUGGCAGGGGGAUAAGCGGGGGAAACCCCGUCUAAUACCGCGUAACGCGGCCUAGGGACAUCCCAAGGCCGCCAAAGGAGCAAUCCCGGCCACGGAUGGGCAUGCGGCGCAUUAGCUAGUCGGCGGGGUAACGGCCCACCGAGGCGACGAUGCGUAGGGGUUCUGAGAGGAAGGCCCCCCACACUGGUACUGAGACACGGACCAGACUCCUACGGGAGGCAGCAG